rnacentral:rRNA from 1 species
UACGGAGGGUGCAAGCGUUACCCGGAAUCACUGGGCGUAAAGGGCGCGUAGGCGGCCAAUCAAGUCCGAUUUUAAAGACCGAAGCUCAACUUCGGGCAUGGGUUGGAUACUAGUUGGCUAGACGACUGGAGGGGCGGGUGGAAUUCUCGGUGUAGCGGUGGAAUGCGUAGAUACCGAGAGGAACACCAGUGGCGAAGGCGGCCCGCUGGACAGUGCGUGACGCUGAGGCGCGAAAGUGUGGGGAGCGAACCGG